rnacentral:rRNA from 1 species
UCCUACGGGAGGCAGCAGUAGGGAAUCUUCCGCAAUGGACGAAAGUCUGACGGAGCAACACAGCGUGAGUGAUGAAGGUUUUCGGAUCGUAAAACUCUGUUAUUAGGGAAGAACAAAUGUGUAAGUAACUGUGCACAUCUUGACGGUACCUAAUCAGAAAGCCACGGCUAACUACGUGCCAGCAGCCGCGGUAAUA